UAGGGAAUAUUGGGCAAUGGGUGAGAGCCUGACCCAGCCAUGCCGCGUGCCGGAAGACGGCCCUCUGGGUUGUAACCGGCUUUUAUGAGGGAACAAAAGGGUCCUGCGGGACAGAUUGCGUGUACCUUAUGAAUAAGCACCGGCUAACUCCGUGCCAGCAGCCGCGGUAAUACGUAGGGGGCGAGCGUUGCCCGGAAUUAUUGGGCGUAAAGAGCGUGUAGGCGGCCUGGUAAGUCUGCCGUGAAAACCUGGGGCUCAACCCUGGGCGUGCGGUGGAUACUGCUAGGCUAGAGGAUGGUAGAGGCGAGUGGAAUUCCCGGUGUAGCGGUGAAAUGCGCAGAUAUCGGGAGGAACACCAGUAGCGAAGGCGGCUCGCUGGGCCAUUCCUGACGCUGAGACGCGAAAGCGUGGGGAGCAAACAGGAUUAGAUACCCCCGUAGUCC
rnacentral:rRNA from 1 species